UGUGGUUUAAUUCGAUGCAACGCGAAAAACCUUACCUACCCUUGACAUGUCUGGAAUCCUGAAGAGAUUUGGGAGUGCUCGAAAGAGAGCCAGAACACAGGUGCUGCAUGGCCGUCGUCAGCUCGUGUCGUGAGAUGUUGGGUUAAGUCCCGCAACGAGCGCAACCCUUGUCAUUAGUUGCUACGAAAGGGCACUCUAAUGAGACUGCCGGUGACAAACCGGAGGAAGGUGGGGAUGACGUCAGGUCAUCAUGGCCCUUAUGGGUAGGGCUACACACGUCAUACAAUGGCCGGGACAGAGGGCUGCCAACCCGCGAGGGGGAGCUAAUCCCAGAAACCCGGUCGUAGUCCGGAUCGUAGUCUGCAACUCGACUGCGUGAAGUCGGAAUCGCUAGUAAUCGCGGAUCAGCUUGCCGCGGUGAAUACGUUCCCGGGUCUUGUACACACCGCCCGUCACACCAUGGGAGCGGGUUCUGCCAGAAGUAGUUAGCCUAACC
rnacentral:rRNA from 1 species